rnacentral:rRNA from 2 species
CAUCCUCCAAGGCUAAAUACUCCUGACUGACCGAUAGUGAACCAGUACCGUGAGGGAAAGGCGAAAAGAACCCCGGCGAGGGGAGUGAAAAAGAACCUGAAACCGUGUACGUACAAGCAGUGGGAGCACCCUUCGGGGUGUGACUGCGUACCUUUUGUAUAAUGGGUCAGCGACUUAUAUUCUGUAGCAAGGUUAACCGUAUAGGGGAGCCGUAGGGAAACCGAGUCUUAACCGGGCGUUAAGUUGCAGGGUAUAGACCCGAAACCCGGUGAUCUAGCCAUGGGCAGGUUGAAGGUUGGGUAACACUAACUGGAGGACCGAACCGACUAAUGUUGAAAAAUUAGCGGAUGACCUGUGGCU